ensembl:lncRNA
GGAAGGCAGCCUAGGAAGAAGGGUGGCCAGCUUCAUUGUGAUGCAAAAGAAUGCAACAAUUAAGAAUAUAAUUUUGGAAGAUGUCAGCAGCCUAAUUACUCAUAGGGCUUCCAGCAAAUUAAGCAGUAGGUGAAUUAGCUCAUUUAAUGAGAUCUAGAGUUCUGAGUCAAGGUGCUUUUACUUUGCAUUUGAGGAAUGCAUUUCCCCAUUACAUGUUAAUAAUUUGGGCACCCCAACAUGCUAUUAGCUCAACAGGUUCUGCAGAGCAUGAGUUGUCCAAGUCAGACAGCAUAUAAUUCAAUCAAGGGGCAUGGGGAACUUCAUCUUUUGGGGC